AGUAGGGGGAAUUAAAUUUGCUUAAGAUUAGAAACACUGGUCAUUGAAUCUUCCUUCUCCUGGUAGAAAAAGACUUGAAAAAGAAGGACCAUUUGCACGGAAGGAAGUGCAGUUUCUUUGAGAUCUGCUUCUCUACCACUGGAUCAGCCAUGAUCUCUGUUCCCAUCUCAGUGUUUGGGAUUCUGUUACUAUUUGGGGAUACUUAUGGAGAUUCAGUGAUCCAGACAGAAGGACAUAUCACCCUUCUUGAGGGAUCGCCACUUAUACUGAACUGCUCUUACAAUACCAAUGCACCUCCUUAUCUUCUCUGGUAUAUUCAGUAUCCCAAUGAAGCUCUGAAGCUUUUUGUGAGUGAGGCAUCAGGAAAAGAACAGGAGAAAGACAAUAAUGGAUUCUGGACUAAAAAGAUUACAGAAAAGUCUUCCUUCCACUUGGAGAAAACCUCGGUCCAAGUAGGAGAUUCUGCUGUGUACUACUGUGUCGUAAGUGACACAGUGAUGAAGACUGUAGGGGGGGCUGAACACAAACCAGAGGGGAACAGGAAUGAUUCUGAGUCCGAGUAG